CUCUAAAAUCACAGUACCUACAAUGGAGACAAUUUAUAUGAUCCUGGACAUAUUCAGAAAGAUAUUGUAGGGAAUAGGAAGGAGCAAAACCAAUGUUUUUUUUUUUUUUCAAUUUAACUUAUUUACUACAAGGAGUGAAAACUGAGCUUUGUCAUGCAUGCUGUGCUGUAAGUAUUAUACUCUGAGAAGACUGAAAAAUAACAUAUGAGGGAUAUUUUAUUCCAGAGUUUUUG